CUAUCGGGAUCGGAUAAGUACAUGCUACCCGAGCGCCUCCCAGCCACGACGGAGGCGUGGCGCACAGCUCAGUAGCACAUGGCUAACCUGCCCUUGGGACGGGAAUACCCCCGGGUAAACUGGGGCUAAUUCCCGAUAGGUGAAGAACUCUGGAAUGAGUCUCCGCCCAAAAGACGAUUAGGCCAUGCUCCUAGUCGCCGCCCAAGGAUGGGGCCGCGGCCGAUCAGGUUGUUGGUGAGGUAACGGCUCACCAAGCCUAUAACCGGUGCGGGCCGUGGGAGCGGGAGCCCGGAGAUGGGCACUGAGACAAGGGCCCGCGGCCCUACGGGGCGCGAG
rnacentral:rRNA from 1 species